GUGCUCACUUCAGCAGCACAUAUACUAAAACUGGAAUGAUACAGAGAAGAUUAGCAUGGCCCUGCACAAGGGUGACAUGGAAGAAGGGGGAAAUGAUAUCUAUAUUU
ensembl:snRNA U6 U6 spliceosomal RNA